rnacentral:lncRNA from 1 species
UACAUCUGCAUGCACCCCAGAAUCCCUGCCCCACCAUCCUCAGUGUAGGCACGCCUGGCUUCUCAGAACUGACCAGGGGGAGGCGCAGCUCCAGCACGGGGUGGGAACCUUUCAAGGGCAUGGACACCAGCUCCAGACAUUGGGCACAUCCGGUGGGCUGCUUUUAUCACGGAAGACUAGACCUGACUCACGGUGUCCAGGGGUUCAGGGCUCCUCCCUGCUGUGACCAGGAUGCCCUCACUGGGCCCUGCCUCCUCCUCUCCGUGUGGACCAGCCACCCCAGCGAGCAGCUGAGAGCUGCCAUGUACC